CUAGGAGAACCGAAAACAGUUCUAGACAGACCUGCGGUUUUAUAGCAGUUUUGGCAGUCAACUUCAGCUUGUGCCUGAGCAGACUGGCCGCGGUAGCCUGCCCCGGCUGAGUGCAGCCCCUCUUCUAAUUAGGUCCGGUGCGCCAGAAAGAGGGGGUCCCCGCCGAAAGG
rfam:Oryctolagus cuniculus cont2.35945, whole genome shotgun sequence.